AAAGAACCAAAGCAACCAAAGCAAAUUAGAGAUGGCGAUUGUGCUUGCGAUCUCGUCUAGGGUUUGAGAUGGGGAUUUACGAUGAUGGUCGGAAGCGGAGAGAGGGUCCCUCUGUUUCUUAUGUGGAUUAUCGGAAUGAGGAUAGGGUGGUAUCCCCAGUUCCGUCUUUGGUUGGGUUGAUUUCGAUGUUACAAGACUCUUCUCGGUUGAAGGGAAUCUCGGUUUCUUGGAGAUUUAAUGGGUUGAUUCAAUUCUAUCUGGUUAACGGUGGGAGACAGUUGUGCGGGAUCUGAUUUCAGGAUUCACGAUUCAGAGAUUUGCAUCCUAAAGUUCUGCGGAUCUCAUUAUGGUAUCAGCUCUGAUCUGGUGCAUCAAGGUUUGGAUAUUCUUUCAAUUUAGUUCUAGAAAUUUCCGUCUAUUGACGCUCUCUGAUAAGGGGAGAUUUGGUGUAUCCGUGAUCGGCUCCAUCUUGGCUGGUAAUGGGAUUCGCUUUUUGAUUAGGCUUUAGGAAGAUAUUCUGAUGCCUUGUUGGGUAUUUAAUCGCUGUAUUGGUUUGCUUUGGUGUCAUCUUGUCAAAACUCUUUCUCAGUUAAGUUUUGUUGCGAUUUUCCCUCUCGGUGGUGGUAUUGUUCUUGCUUCUCUAAGGGUUGAGUUUGGGUGGUUACUGUUCAGCACAAUGAUGCAGUUGGGUGUAAACAAAGGCAAAGCUCCCUUAAUCCGCACUGAAACGGUGAAGAUUUCUGACUCCGUUUUGGCCCAGCGGAUUCAACAAUUUGAGUUGACCUUGAUUGGGCGUUUGAUGAACCCUGUAAUCCAACGAAUGGAGUCGUUGGUGUCUAAUUUGCCAAAUAUAUGGAAGCUCGAGGAUAAAGUGAUGGGGGCAGAUCUUGAUCAAGGCGUUUUUCAGUUUAAUUUCGAGGCUGAAGAGGAUCUUCUCAGUGUUGUGCAGAAUGGUCCUUACCAUUUUGAUGGUUGGAUGAUCUCCCUGGUUCGAUGGGAACCUAUCAUCUCUGCUACUUACCCUUCGGCUAUCAAUUUUUGGGUGAAAGAUUCAGGUAUUCCUAUGCACCUUUGGGAAGUUGCAACUUUGGAGGCAAUCGGGAGGAAGAUUGGUAUACUCCGUGAGGUGGAUGAGGAGACUGGUAGUGUCUGCGUUACUGUCAGCGGCUUCAUUCCUCUUAUUUUUCAGUUGUUGGUUCCAUUUAAUACAAGUGAUGAGGUGAUUGUCUCACUUGAGUAUGAGAAGUUGCAGGGCUUCUGCGAGGUUUGCUCAAGGCUUACACAUGAAUCGCAAGUCUGUCCGGAAGAUACUAAGGUGAUUGGUAGUCAUGCUUUUGAGGAAAAAUUGGAUAAGAGGGGUGGACAAAGGCAACAAUCCAUGGCUAAGCACGGUCCGCAGCAUAAUGAUGGAUGGGAGAAACCUAGGAAGUUUGUUAAAAGAGCUUCAGAUUUCCAAAAGUCAGAUCAUAGUGAGCAGGAUCGUGUGGCGGAGAAUGGUAGGGGGGGUUAUCACUCGCAAGGGAGGGCUCAGGGUUAGGGUCCGAAGAGGAGUUUCUCUGCAAAUAGGGCUGAAUCCAGUGACCGUGGGGGAAAAGGAGGUCCUCCGGUUGCAAUGGUAGAGUCUAUGGCUCAUUUUCCUAAUCUUCAGCUGAAUAGGAAGGGGGCUGGUCCGGUUUGGCCUAAGUACAAGGCUAAGCUUGGGGGUAGUGAGAAAAAUGCUCAUGGUUCUGCGAAGGUUAGCUCUUUGGAUCCAGUCUUGGAAGAGUCUCAAUCGAUUCUGGCGUUGGAUAAAGUUCUGACUAAGGGUGACGGUGAGCUCUCUGCUGGCUUGGAGUUUUCUGAAGAGACUGAUGAUUUGCUAGAAGAGGGUGAGUAUCCUGAAGUGGUUCUCACGGACAAGGUCGACGGUGAGAAUGUGCCAGUUGGUGAGCCAGCUUCGGAUAUGGAGACAUCUCUUGUUGGUGAGGACGCAAUUAUUCCUCAAGGUGAUGGGCACAAACAGAGGACUAUAGGUAAGCAAGUCCAUAAAGUCAAGGAUGGUCUCAUUCCGGGAGGAGGGAGCCAUCCAGUCAAGAAAGGGAUGGUGGCGCUCCUGAAACCACCUGCUCAAACGUGAAGGUCCUGAGCUGGAAUUGUCAGGACAUAAGGGUUGACCUGACAGAGGGAUAUUUGAGUGAUUUAUGGAAGAAACAUCGUCCGAAUAUUUUAUUUCUA